UACAUAGGGGGCAAGCGUUAUCCGGAAUUAUUGGGCGUAAAGGGUGCGUAGGCGGUUAUUUAAGUCUUUGGUGUAAGUGCAAGGCUCAACCUUGUGAUGCUAAGGAAACUGGAUAACUUGAGUGUGAUAGAGGUAAGUGGAAUUCCAUGUGUAGCGGUAAAAUGCGUAAAUAUAUGGAGGAACACCAGUGGCGAAGGCGGCUUACUGGGUCACAACUGACGCUGAGGCACGAAAGCGUGGGGAGCAAACAGG
rnacentral:rRNA from 1 species